CAGCCAUAUUGCUACCCUGUGCACAUUUUUUGCUUAUUCUGCCUUUCGUAGUGGCUUCUAUGAGAAAGUGCACAUGAUUGCGCAUUUUAUUAUUUAAUGCUGGUUACUACGAGAACAAUUGAAAUUAAAUAUAAUACAGUAUUUCAAUUAUUCCCUAAGAAAUCAUUAUACCGGCCGUCCAAACACUGUUAAACAUGGAGAGUAUGCUGGAUCAAGUGUAGCGGGAGCUUUCAUGGUUGACAUUGCCUCUACUGUAAAAGGACUAAUCAGUGUUUGAUGCAAACAACCCUGUCAUGCCUAUGUGACUUCAUUUCUUUUAGCUUUGUGAUCAUAAGCACUACGAGCAGAUAAAAUACUGUGCAAUUCGAAGCACAUCCUUGACCUCUUAAUGCAUUACAGAUGAAAAGUGAAUUAUUGUUUACAAGCAUGUUCAGAGCCUAACAGCUACCUUUUAGGUUGAGGGUGACAGCUUGGUGAAGGACACUCAAACUUGUGUAGAUUUGUGGUUAAAAUUAAAUAUUUACAUUCUAUGAAAUGGGGCGAGUCAAGCGAGGCCUCCGGGUGAAUAAGCACCUCACCCCACUGAGCUAAGUCCUGAGCAAAGCCUAUGUGCGUGGAGAUACAAACAGGAUUGUUUUUUAAGAAAAGUGUUCAUGUGUUUUUAAAUGCAACACGUAAAUGUCUCACCAGAAUGACCCAGACAAUAUUUUCUUUAGAUAUAUUGCAUGUUAUAUAUUUUGUUUAUAUUUAAGAGAGAUUUAAAUGACCACAGCAUAAAAUUAAAAACAAAGCUGUCCUCAUUACGGUGGCAUGUCAUCUAAUCUUUAAUGCUAUAACAAUAGUUAUCAAUGUUGAUGCAAGUGAAAACAUCUGCUUUAUGUUGGCUGCUGCACUUACAAUUGUAUUUUUCUGUAUUUUAGCCAUUGCAUUAAUGUUAUACUGCUAGUAAGUUUUUUAUAGUGCUGUUUUUCCAGUCUGAAUGUUAUGCAUUGGUUUGUGGCCUAGCCUACGUGUAUACCGUUCAAUUCGCUAUAUUUCUUGCAUUCAUUGAUUUUUUUGUCCUGCAUAAACCAGGGCAGAUCCGUGAUGCGGUAUGUUGUGGAGAUUAGGCUAUCUGCAUGGGACAGUUCUGACCCGAGAAACAGUGUGUUCAAUAAAAGCAAGAUGGGCAUCCACCCCAUGUUUGACAACGAAGAGGAUAUCUGCUUUUUGCGCCGUCAGGGCAGCAACAUUCGGUGCACUUUGCAAGAUGUUAUCGACAUGACCCAUCAAGAAGUUAAAAAUUACUACUGCUCCAAGACAGACAUUUAAAAGCCCCUUGAGGAAACUUUGACGAGCACCGCAUAGCAUUAGGUAGUACGUUGCAUUGCCAGUAGAGCUUGACAUGCCCCACGUGUGAAGAGAAAGGCCUUGAGGAAGAUUUCCAGCAGUAUUUCAAUCAAAUAUACAUGAGCACAUUGCUUUCUGAGGCAUUGAAUAUUGUGCUUCGCAUUUUUAUGUUGCGUUCCAUUGUAUAUGUUCCUUGGCACCAGUCUGACCCGGUGACCACAGACUCAUUAAAGUAUUCAUAUUAAGAAGUA